rnacentral:lncRNA from 1 species
CAUAACUAAAUUGUUACAAGUGUUUAGGAUUUGCAGUCACUUUUUUAUCACGAUAUGUUAAGUAAACUCACGCCCAUCAAUGCUAGAGGCAUUUUUUUUUUUUAUAUAAAUGUCACUUUUUAAGAGAAUAGAUAAUAAUACACAGACCGUAUGGGAAUAGUAAAAGAUUUGAAGGUUUGUUAUGUGAUUAUAAUAGGAAAAUGUUUUUUUAUGUAAAUAGAUAAUUGGUAAGAUGCUGAAGAUGCUGUUUUUUUGUUUGUUUGUUUGUUUUUUCUCUUUCUCCAUAAGACACUCUGAGUUUCUAUACCCCUCCCUGUGGGAUUCCGUGGGACUCCCAGUACUUGGAAUAUUUUUUGUGUUCCAGUCUUCUGUGUAAAUAUGAAUGUUUUUAUGUUGUUUUGUUGGGUGUGUAAGAUGUUUAACUGGUCAUGCAUAUUGCAGAUAUGGUCAAUGAGCCCAAAAAAGAAAAAUAGAGUAAGAUAUGGUUAGAGUCCUAUCUAUUAAUGCCCAAGGCCUUAAUUCUUUUGUUAAAAGAGGCUAUUUGUAUAAUACUCUUGUUAAUCAGAAAAUAGAAGUAGGGUUUAUCCAGGAAACCCAUUGGAUUGGGGAGUCUAGGAAAUUAUGGUUCUAUAAAAAAUAUCCCUUGAUUUACUCUGCAACUUUACAAGGAAAAAAGAAAUGCGGUGUUUCAAUAAUUUUCUCUAAGGAAGUUACUUUUGAUUGUUGUUUUAAUCAUUAAGACCCGGAAGGGAGGUUUAUCAUUUUAGUGGGCCAACUGAACGGGACGGAUUAUACUUUAGUUAAUGUGUAUUUACCCAAUAAAGACCCAAUUAAAACUCAGACUAAAAUUUUAGGUCUGGUGGAACAGGUUAAAAAAGAUAGAGUUUUGAUUGCAGGUGAUUUUAAUUGUAUUUUUGACACUUUAUUGGACAAGCAAUUGGCUAAAAACCAGCAGAUAGAUAAAUCCCUGAAAAGACAGGCAGCGUCAUUAAGUAGAUUGAUAAAAAAAAGCAGAUUUGUACGACUGCUGUAGAUUGUCCCACCCCAAUGAAAGGAAUUUCACGCAUAGGUCUAUCUCUCACAAUUGGGCUGCCAGGAUUGAUAUGAUUUUGGGUAACUUAAAUCUAGUAAAGGUGAUCUCCUCAAUUUCCAUCGUGGAAAAUACCUGGUCAGACCACGACAUGGUAAUUGCAGACUUGGUGGUAACCAAUACGAGACCCCCUCCAAUCUGGAGAUUGGCAGAUUAUCUGUUAAAAAAUAAAGCAAAUGUAGAACAUAUAGAGAAUUUAAUUGAUCUUUUUAUUAAAGAGAAUACAUCUGAGGAGUUAUACAAGGAAUGCCUAUGGUGUUCCUGUAAAGCAGUUAUCAGGGGACACUGGAUUAAAUUAGCAAGACACCAAAAAAGGAACAUAGAUAACAUCGAAUUUUACAAUCUUUCUAAAGCUAACAAACAAUCUUAUUCUGAGGAGAGAGCAUUAUCUAUUAAGGUUUGCCAAGAAAAGAUAAAUGUACAGAUUAAGAACAGGAUAGAACGUAAUUUAAAUAAGCUUAAUAUUAAAUACUAUUACAAGAAUAAUCGUGUUGACUCAUUGUUAACAAAUAAAUUAAAGAAAAAGAUGGCUGACCAAAAGAUCUCCAAACUGGGAGAUGGAAUUCAUUAUAUCUAUAAGCCAGAUGAAAUUGCCAGCAAAUUCAGAUCUUUUUAUGCAAAACUAUACAAUUUGAAUACAUUUCCUGACAUGUUGGAGAAUUACUUAAAAAAAUCUAAUUUAUCAAAAAUAUCUUAUGAUCAGAAGGAAAGGCUUAACAGAAGUAUCUCUCAGAAUGAAGUUGAUUUAGCAAUUGAUAAGCUUGUAAAUAGUAAAGAUCCUGGUCCGGAUGGGUAUACGAAUCUGUUCUUUAAGGUUUUUAAAAAACAGUUACUCCCGAUGUUAACUGAGACCUUUAAUGAAUUGGCGACCAAAGGGUUUGCCUCCCCAGAUCUGUUAAGGGCACAUAUUAUUCCAAUUUUUGAAGCAAGGUAAAAUCCCCUAUGAAGUGAGUAAUUAUCGUCCUAUUUCUCUGGUCAAUGUUGACAUUAAACUUUUAGCCGCAAUUCUGGCUGAACGAUUGAAAAUAGUCUUGCCAUCACUGAUUCAUCAGGACCAGAUAGGGUUUAUGAUGGGUAGGCAUUCCUCUAAUAACAGUUGUAGGGUGCUGGAUCUACUGGAUUGGGCUCGGACUGAAGGAACCCCCCUCUUGACCCUGUCAGUGGAUGCCGAAAAAGCCUUCGACAGGGUCGGAUAGGAGUUCUUGCAUAGAACUCUAUCGCAGCUUGGCUUUGAAGGGUGCUUUAUGGGUGCAGUAGGAGCCAUAUACUCGAAUCCCACAGCCUGCAUAGUGGCCUGUGAUUUACGCUCAGAUUGGUUCAGUAUUAAUAAUGAGACAAGGCAGGGGUGCCCUCUCUCUUCCCUACAAUAUGUUUUAUCAAUAGAACCUCUGGCCAAUAACAUAAGACAAAACGUGAGGAUCAAAGGAUUGGGAGCUCAGUAUGAUGAAUGGAAGAUAUGUCUGUACGCAGACGAUAUCUUAAUUUCUAUUUCUGACCCACAUGUUUCUCUUCCACACUUAAUGCAAGAAUUUGAUAAUUAUAGUAGUGUCUCUAAUUACAGACUGAAUAUCAAUAAAACAACAGCUAUGUCCAUUAAUAUACAAAAAGAUAAACUAAUUUCUUUAAAGAAAGAUUUUGAUUUUAAAUGGACGGAAAAAGAGUUUACAUAUCUGGGGGUGAUUAUUUCUGCAGAAACAAGGCGAAUUAUGGAAAUUUAUUUUUUGACAUUGUUAAAAGAGACCAGUGCCUUACUAAAAGAAUGGAGAGUUCAUGAAAUUUUGUGGUGGGGAAGGAUUAACACCAUUAAAGCCUAUAUAAUUCCUAAGUGGGCUUAUCUAUUCGGCAUGCUCCCUCUCUCGAUUUCUUGCCACUGGCUAAAUAUGGUACAAAGUAGUAUUACAUCUUAUAUUUGGAGAGGGAAGAGACCAAGAAUCAAUACAUAUACUCUAUCAAGGAAAUCCCUUAAUUACUCAAGUAUAUCAGGCCAAUAUGCUGGUCCACGCUAGCUAUUUAAAAUUAAGUGAUUCUAAAAACCAAGCUUGGUACAAAAUUGAGUCAACUAGAAUUGGACUAGAUAAUCUUAAGCUUCUUCUAUGGAGAAAGGCAAACCAGAAUAAGGAAACGGGCAAGAUUACAUUCCAGUCUUUCAUGUCUCUAUCAUAAACAUUAAAGAAUGGAAUAUUAUAAAGAAAAAGUUGAAUAUUAAUUAAAAAAAAACUCUAUGAGAACCUUAGUUUAAGGUCUUUAGAAAAUUAUAUGUUAGAGAUUAAUUUGGUAAACUGGCAUAAAAAUUUCAACUAUAGGAUAAAAAAUCUUUAUAGUGAACAGCAAUUGAAAAGCUUUGAAGCUCUUUCUAGAGAAAUAUUUAAUUACCUCCGUAUUCAGAGCUAUCUUAAAGACCAUAUGCUAACGUUAGAUGGUCGCUUGGGUAAAUUAUUUAGGAAAAUUUUCUCUGGUUUUGCGGUAAAAAAGGUGUUCUCUCUUGCGAUAGAGGUGAUAAAACUUAAGGGGGCACCAGAUAUACCCAAAGCUUCAACUAAAUGGGAAGUUGAUUAAUAAUAUCUAUUCCAUAUAACAAUUGUUGUAAAUCUUUUAUGAUGACUAAGAAAUGUAUUCACUGUCUGAAUAUUUCAGAGACCUUUAUCAAAAUCUUGUAUAGAUGGUAUUUGGUACCGACUAGACUUGCAAAAAUAUCCAAUACAAACCCUCCAAAUUGCUGGCGAUGUUUUCAUCCAGACGGGUCUAUGCUCCAUAUUUGGUGUGCUUGCCCCAGAAUUAAGCCUCUUUGGAAUAUUUCAUUUAAUUUUAUUUAUAGAAUUGGAGGUAUACGCCUGGAGCAUAAAGCGGAAAUUACCCUACUUCACCUUAUGGGCUCAGAAAUAAAUGGUAAUCUUGAUAUUGUGAUUGUACAUUGUCUAAUGGCAACUAAAAUACUAAUUGCCAGAUUUUGGAAAAGUACUGAGAUUCCAACUAGAGAUCAAGUUAAAGCUCAAUUACUAUACCAACUUGAGAUGGAAAAAGGGUUGAUCCUCAUGAAUGAUUAUUUUAAUGAUAAUAUUCUGACGCUAUAUUCCAACUUUAUUGACACGAUCAGAGGGUUUUAAUGAGGUUAGGUUAAAGGAAGAACGUAUUAUGACUUGCCUAGAUUUGGAUGAAAGCCAAUAUAGGAUAUUACUCCAUGGGCUCUUUGACCAUAUAUUUGAUACCAGUUCAAAUUGUUAUGGGAUUCUUGACUUGGACCAGUUUUGUUCGUAUUGUAUGUUUUAUUUUUUGUGGGUACUGGUUUUUGUUGGAGUGUGAUUCUCCUACAUUCGAUACUGUAUACCAAAUUUUUAGGUAUUAGAAGGUUUAUCUUCUACACAUAUAUGGUGUAAUUAGCCAUACCUGUGUGUGUUUUAUGUGGGAAAGGAUAUUCGAUUGUAGUACCUUUCUCGGAUGUGUACUGUAU